GUAAACAUCGACGGUGAAAAGAAACGAUAGAAUCGUAUAGUAUAAAAAAGCAUGACGAACAUUUAUGAAGUUGUUAAAAAGUUAUUAGGAUAUCGUGCAUUGAUUUGUCGUUAGAGGCGUUUUCAUACGGUCGAAAGAAAAUAAUUUGAUUUGCCGUAGACGAUCGAACCGUAAGGUUUCGUGCGUUCAAUUGCAGAGUACAGUUACGCUCCAAUUGUCAAUUUUAAUUCUUACGUCCAGCGAUAAAACUUAUCGCGUGUACAUCCAGUUUGCGUUCGACCAAUGCUGUCUCCUCUACGGUGCAAUUUCUAGAUUUUACUAUGAUACAUCGGGACCGUGUGUAUACGUUCGAUACAAAAGAUCUUCCCUUCGGUGAGGGCAGUUUGCGAAUGAUUAACGUUUUAAAAAUAAGCGAGGCGCACGAUGGACGCCCGUUAUCUGAUGACUCUCCCUCAUUAACCUGGCAAGGAAUUUUGAUUUCAGGUGCAGAUACACGACGGUGGCGACCGUAAAUGGUGUGCAUGCAAACUUCACUAACGUGACCAACGUAACUUUAGCGUAGCAUUAACGUCACCGCGACGAGGAGACGCUUAAAAAAACACUUCGAUCGCGAAAGAAGAGGAAGCGGAACGAAGAUGGGGACAUUUUUAAGUAAAAAAGGAACCAACCCUCGAACGAAACAUUGUGCAUGAAAGGCGUGACGGUAAUUGCAGAUUUCUUGGGAAAAGGGGGUUGUGUUUAGCAGAUAAAAUCAAUGAUAAACGACGCGUCGUUUCGCUGAAACGCGAGCCACGACGCUUUUUCGACCCUGAAUUCAUAAAUAUUCAUCCCUGAAACUCUGCUCUGCUCGUCCUGAAUUGAUUCGCGUCCAUGCGAAUAGUCAAGUAGUCAAGUAUUCAAAUACUUGAUCAGUGCUUAACGAAAUUGAACAUUGAAGUAUUCGAAUUGUUUAAUGUUCGAAUUACUCUCAGAGUAUUUGAAUAAAUUCAAGUAGUCCCAGCCUCGGUUUGAACGUUGUAAAACUCAGGACCAAUUUCAAGGAGCGGGUGCACGAAUAACGAACCGCUGUAUGGUACAUGUAAGAACAAUGUACGUAUAUUUCUUCACAAAACCAUAACAUUACAGCGCGUAAGAUCGUCAUGCGUAUCGGCGAUAAAAAACGGUACGGGUGGUCGGGUAUUGAAUUCAGAUUAGCUCGAGUCGUGCAGCAUCGGUAUCUUAAUUCAAUAAAGGUAAGCCGUACAAAUCGUACCCGUAAAUCGAAUCGACGUCCCGUAUUACGCGAACGGGUGUGGGUGGGGUAGUUGGGGGAGGGGGGGAGGGGGGGGGGGUACGCUCCCGUACAACAUUUAUCGUCGUGCGUUUAACGUUUAAUUAAUACCGGCGCCCGGCUCAGGGGUAACAACUUAACCUAAGUAACGAGUUCACUUGGCACAGUGAAUAAUUACGUUUCUCACCGUUGUCUAGUGCAAAUAAAAAAAAAAAAAACAUAGGAGUAGGGGGGGGGGGCAAUGGAUGUAUAUUCUGCGGGGAAUUU